rnacentral:rRNA from 1 species
GACUACACGAAGCUGGAAUCGCUAGUAAUCGCGGAUCAGAAUGCCGCGGUGAAUACGUUCCCGGGUCUUGUACACACCGCCCGUCACACCAUGGGAGUCAGUAACGCCCGAAGUCAGUGACCUAACCGAAAGGGAGGAGCUGCCGAAGGCGGGACGGAUGACUGGGGUGAAGUCGUAACAAGGUAGC